rnacentral:rRNA from 1 species
UACGUAGGGUGCAAGCGUUAAUCGGAAUUACUGGGCGUAAAGCGUGCGCAGGCGGUUAUGUAAGACAGAUGUGAAAUGCCCGGGCUUAACCUGGGAACUGCAUUUGUGACUGCAUGGCUAGAGUGUGUCAGAGGGGGGUAGAAUUCCACGUGUAGCAGUGAAAUGCGUAGAGAUGUGGAGGAACACCGAUGGCGAAGGCAGCCCCCUGGGUCAAGAUUGACGCUCAUGCACGAAAGCGUGGGGAGCAAACAGG